ensembl:lncRNA
CACAGGGAAAAUUGGGAGUUCCGGGAUUGCCGGGAUACCCCGGGCGCCAGGGCCCCAAGGUGAGACCCAAACAUUCCCAAAAUUCCCCAAAUUCCCAGAAUUUCCCCCAAAUCUGACCCCGAUUCCCACAAAAUUCCCACAAAAUCCCCCAAAAUUCCCAUUAAAAUCCAUUAAAAUUAAAAAAAAAAACCCAAAAAUCCCAAAUUUUCCCCCAAAAUCCCAAAUUUUCUCCCCUGAAUUCCCCCAAAUCCCGAAUUUUCACCCCAAAAUCCCAAAUUUUCUCUCCAAAUUCCCCCAAAUCCGGAAUUUUCCCCCCAAAAUUCCCAAAUUUUGCCCCAAAAUUCCCCCAAAAUCCCAAAAUUUCCCCCAUAAUUCCAAAUUUUUUUCCCAAAAUCCCCAAAUUUCCCCUCAAAAUUCCAAAUUUUUCCCCAAAAUCCCCAAAUUUCACCCCAAAAUUCCCAAAUUUUCCCUCCCAAAUCCCGAAUUUUCCCCUCAAAUCCCAAAUUUCCCUCCCAAAUCCCAAAAUUUCCCCCCAAAUCCUCCAAAAUUCACCCAAAAUUCCCAAAUUCCUCCCAAAAUUCCCAAUUUUUCCCAUUUCCCCCCCAAAAUUCCCAAUUUUUCCCCCAAAAUUCCCAUUUUCCCUCCCCACAUUCCCAUUUUUUCCCCGUUUUUUCCCGAUUUUUGCCUUUUCCCCACAAUUCCUCCCCAAAAUCCCAUUUUUUCCCCAAAAAAUUCCCAAUUUUCCCCCCAAAUUCCCAUUUUUCCCCCAAUCCCCAUUUUUUCCCCCAAAAUUCCCAAUUUCCCACCCAAAAUUCCCACAAAAUCCCCAAAAAUUCCCAUUAAAAUCCAUUAAAAUUAAAAAAUUUCCCUCCAAAAUUCCCGAAUUUUCCCCCAAAUCCCAAAAUUUUCCCCCCAAAUUCCCAAAUUUCCCCCUAAAAAUCCCAAAUUCCCCCAAAAUUCCCAAAUUUCCUCCCCAAAUUCCCGUUUUUCCCGCAGGGCUCUCAGGGAUUCCCGGGAUUUCCCGGCAGCAGCGGCGAGAAAGGAGCGAGGGUGAGCCCCUCCCCUACCCCCCAAAAUAUCCCAAAAAAUUCCCCAAAAUUCCCCAAAAAAUUCCCCAAAAUUCCCCCCCAAAAAUUCCCAAAAUUCCCAAAAAAUUCCCCAAAAUGCCCCAAAAAUCCCCCCCAAAAUAUCCCAAAAAAUUCCCCAAAAAAAUCCCCAAAAUUCCCCAAAAAAUCCCCAAAAUAUUCAAAAAAAAUUCCCCAAAAUCCCCCCCAAAAUAUCCCAAAAAUUCACCCCAAAAUGCCAAAAAAAUUCCCCAAAAUGCCCAAAAAAUUCCCUAAAUUCCCCCCCAAAAAUUCCCCAAAAUUCCCAAAAAAUUCCCCAAAAUUCCCCAAAAUUCAAAAAAAAUUCCCAAAAAUUCCCCCCCAAAAUUCCCAAAAUAUUAAAAAAAAAUUCCCAAAAAUUCCCCCCCAAAAUUUCCCAAAAUAUUAAAAAAAAAUCCCCAAAAAUCCCCCCAAAAUAUCCCAAAAAAUUCCCCAAAAUUCCAAAAAAAUUCCCCAAAAUUCCCCCCAAAAAAUUCC